CACAUGCAAGUCGAGGGGCAGCGGGAUUGAAGCUUGCUUCAAUUGCCGGCGACCGGCGCACGGGUGAGUAACGCGUAUCCAACCUUCCGUACACUCAGGGAUAGCCUUUCGAAAGAAAGAUUAAUACCUGAUGGUAUGAUGAGAUUGCAUGAUAGCAUCAUUAAAGAUUCAUCGGUGUACGAUGGGGAUGCGUUCCAUUAGGUAGUAGGCGGGGUAACGGCCCACCUAGCCUACGAUGGAUAGGGGUUCUGAGAGGAAGGUCCCCCACAUUGGAACUGAGACACGGUCCAAACUCCUACGGGAGGCAGCAGUGAGGAAUAUUGGUCAAUGGACGAGAGUCUGAACCAGCCAAGUAGCGUGAAGGAUGAAGGUCCUACGGAUUGUAAACUUCUUUUAUAAGGGAAUAAAACCUCCCACGUGUGGGAGCUUGUAUGUACCUUAUGAAUAAGCAUCGGCUAACUCCGUGCCAGCAGCCGCGGUAAUACGGAGGAUGCGAGCGUUAUCCGGAUUUAUUGGGUUUAAAGGGAGCGC
rnacentral:rRNA from 1 species